UCUUUCUAACAUUUAAUCAUGCACUUUCUUAAUUUAGUGUUUCUUAAGUAAUUAAUUACCUUGCUAAACGAAAAGGCUUGCCAUGCAUUUAGGCAAGUGAAAAUUAAUAUAAUAGUAAAUUUUACCAAAAAGUAUAAUACAAUAGUAAACUAAAGGGAAAUUCGUGCUUUUAGUCUCGAAAAUAUUGAUAAAUUUUUUAUCUUUAUCCUUAUGAUAUCUAGUUAAACAUGUUUAGUAUAGUUCGUUAAAAUGUGAAGUUAUCAUACAUCGAUUUUUUGGAUGCACUCUCUUUUUAAGUAGCUGAAACCUCUAUGUGGAAAAGUUAUUUAUUGCAGAUAUUCACUGGUACUACACUAAAUAGUAUCAGUGGAUAUAGGGCGAGUCCCCCUUCUUGCAUCUUUCACAAAUCUAAGCAAUUAUGAAUUGUUAAGCCAUGUAAUUGCUCAUGUGCUAUAUUAUAAUGUUGUUAGUCCACUUUUUAGGGUGAUUAUAUAACAUAUUUCAUAUAUAAAGUGAUUAAAAACACAUUUUGUUAAAUAUGUUGUGCCAAAUAUAGAUAACAACUAUCAACAUUUAAAGAUUGGUUUGAUUUUGUGAAAAAUCGAAUUUCAAUUUUUAACAAUUUGGCUACGUUUUAAACGAGCUUUGUAAUUGAAACAGAAAUGCUAUGAUUUAAAUUCACUUUUGGCCAUUUUGAAACUCUCAAAUCAGCCUAUUUUCGGAGUGGUUGGAGUGGGUGAGUUGGGUGGUGAUGGGUGGUUGGUGGAAUGCCAUAUGUGAAACUUGUUCUUUCUACUUUCAUUCGGGAAAUUAUUUUUUUCAUAUAAAAAAAAAUUAUUUUUCUAAAGUAAAUAUUUCCCAAAACUUUUUGACCAACGAAUAUGAGAAAAUUUAAAAAUAUUUUCUGAGGAAUGUUUUGCUCCAUACUGAACGCACUUUAAGU